GAUUCAGCGGCGGACGGGUGAGUAAUGCCUAGGAAUCUGCCUGGUAGUGGGGGACAACGUUUCGAAAGGAACGCUAAUACCGCAUACGUCCUACGGGAGAAAGCAGGGGACCUUCGGGCCUUGCGCUAUCAGAUGAGCCUAGGUCGGAUUAGCUAGUUGGUGGGGUAAUGGCUCACCAAGGCGACGAUCCGUAACUGGUCUGAGAGGAUGAUCAGUCACACUGGAACUGAGACACGGUCCAGACUCCUACGGGAGGCAGCAGUGGGGAAUAUUGGACAAUGGGCGAAAGCCUGAUCCAGCCAUGCCGCGUGUGUGAAGAAGGUCUUCGGAUUGUAAAGCACUUUAAGUUGGGAGGAAGGGCAGUAAGCUAAUACCUUGCUGUUUUGACGUUACCGACAGAAUAAGCACCGGCUAACUCUGUGCCAGCAGCCGCGGUAAUACAGAGGGUGCAAGCGUUAAUCGGAAUUACUGGGCGUAAAGCGCGCG
rnacentral:rRNA from 1 species